rnacentral:tRNA from 1 species
AGUGAUGUGGCUCAGUGGGAGAGUGUGUGCCUAGCAUGUACAAGACCCUAGGUUUGGUCCCUAGCUCCACUA